rnacentral:rRNA from 1 species
GACGAACCGAGCGAACGUUGUCCGGAAUCAUUGGGCGUAAAGCGCGUGUAGGCGGCCCGAUAAGUCCGCUGUGAAAGUCCAGGGCUCAACCCUGGAAUGCCGGUGGAUACUGUCGGGCUCGAGUCCGGAAGAGGCGAGUGGAAUUCCUGGUGUAGCGGUGAAAUGCGCAGAUAUCAGGAGGAACACCAAUAGCGAAGGCAGCUCGCUGGGACGUUACUGACACUGAGGCGCGAAAGCGUGGGGAGCGAACAGG